rnacentral:rRNA from 1 species
UACGAAGGGUGCAAGCGUUGUUCGGAAUGACUGGGCGUAAAGGGUUCGUAGGCGGGAAUAUAAGUUAAGUGUGAAAUCCCUGGGCUUAACCCAGGACGUGCACUUAAAACUGUGUUUCUUGAGUACUGGAGGGGGUUGGGGAAUUGCUGGUGUAGGAGUGACAUCCGUAGAGAUCAGCAGGAACACCGGAGGCGAAGGCGCCAACCUGGACAGAUACUGACGCUGAGGAACGAAAGCGUGGGGAGCAAACAGG